GGGGAUUUAGCUCAGUGGUAGAGCGCUUGCCUAGCAAGCACAAGGCCCUGGGUUCGAUCCUCAGCUCCA
rfam:Rattus norvegicus chromosome 4, whole genome shotgun sequence.